UACAGAGGUCCCAAGCGUUGUUCGGAUUCACUGGGCGUAAAGGGUGCGUAGGUGGCCAGGUAAGUUUGGUGUGAAAGCUCGGAGCUUAACUCCGAAAAGUCAUUGAAUACUAUCUGGCUGGAGGGUCGGAGGGGAGACUGGAAUUCUCGGUGUAGCAGUGAAAUGCGUAGAUAUCGAGAGGAACACCAGUGGCGAAGGCAAUCCCCUGGACCUGUACUGACGCUCAUGCACGAAAGCGUGGGGAGCAAACAGG
rnacentral:rRNA from 1 species